UACGUAGGGGGCAAGCGUUGUCCGGAAUUAUUGGGCGUAAAGGGUGCGUAGGCGGCCUGGUAAGUCUGGCGUGAAAGCCCAGGGCUCAACCCUGGGAUGCGGGUGGAUACUGCCGGGCUCGAGUCCGGAAGAGGCGAGUGGAAUUCCCGGUGUAGCGGUGAAAUGCGCAGAUAUCGGGAGGAACACCAAUGGCGAAGGCAGCUCGCUGGGACGUGACUGACGCUGAGACGCGAAAGCGUGGGGAGCAAACAGG
rnacentral:rRNA from 1 species